rnacentral:RNase_P_RNA from 2 species
CGAGCAAGCCAAGAUGGUUGCCCCUUCGUUUAACUUAGGGGAGGAAAGUCCGAGCUCCGGAGGAUAAUGUAUCCUGUUAAUGCAGGACAUCAUUAGUGUCAAGUUUAAAGUUUUAAGUGUCAAUCUUGACACAUGACACUUGAAACCUGAUACGGGUGAUAGGAUCAGAGCUACAGUGACGAUGCUUUCGCUGGAAACAGUGAGAGAGUGAAACGAGCAAUCUCUACAUGGAGCAAGGCCGCAUAGGAAGAGAUGAGCUGUAUCCGGCUCGCUAUGAUCUUCGGGUUGGCCGCAAGAGUUUCGCGAGUGAUCGCGGAAGUGAGUGAAAUAACCGUCGAUCUUGCCCGAAAAAAUCAAGAUCCACAGAACUCGGCUUAUUGGCUUGCUCACUAA